ensembl:misc_RNA Y_RNA Y RNA
GGUUAGUUCCAGUGCAGUGGCAGUGGUGUUUACAACUAACUGAUCACAACCAGUUACAGAUUCCUUUGCUCCUUCUCCACUCCCACUGCUUCACUUGACCAGCCUUAA